GAUCCUGGCUCAGGAUGAACGCUGGCGGCGUGCUUAACACAUGCAAGUCGAGCGAUGAAGUUUCCUUCGGGAAACGGAUUAGCGGCGGACGGGUGAGUAACACGUGGGUAACCUGCCUCAUAGAGUGGAAUAGCCUUCCGAAAGGAAGAUUAAUACCGCAUAACGUUGAAAGAUGGCGAUCAUUAAUUCUAACCAAAACGGAAGGCAAUCCGCCUAUAAGAAUGGACCCGGCCGGCGGCAUUAGUCUAGUUGGUUGGGGG
rnacentral:rRNA from 1 species